GCACCCGUAGUUCAAUUGGAUAGAAUACAAGACUCCGGAUCUUGCGGUUGCCGGUUCGAACCUGGCCGGGUGCACAA
rnacentral:tRNA from 1 species